rnacentral:rRNA from 1 species
UAGGGAAUCUUCCGCAAUGGACGCAAGUCUGACGGAGCAACGCCGCGUGAGUGAAGAAGGUUUUCGGAUCGUAAAACUCUGUUGUUAGAGAAGAACAAGUGCUAGAGUAACUGUUAGCGCCUUGACGGUAUCUAACCAGAAAGCCACGGCUAACUACGUGCCAGCAGCCGUGGUAAUACGUAGGUGGCAAGCGUUGUCCGGAUUUAUUGGGCGUAAAGCGAGCGCAGGCGGUUCCUUAAGUCUGAUGUGAAAGCCCCCGGCUCAACCGGGGAGGGUCAUUGGAAACUGGGGAACUUGAGUGCAGAAGAGGAGAGUGGAAUUCCAUGUGUAGCGGUGAAAUGCGUAGAUAUAUGGAGGAACACCAGUGGCGAAGGCGACUCUCUGGUCUGUAACUGACGCUGAGGCUCGAAAGCGUGGGUAGCAAACAGGAUUAGAUACCCUGGUAGUCCACGCCGUAAACGAUGAGUGCUAAGUGUUGGAGGGUUUCCGCCCUUCAGUGCUGCAGUUAACGCAUUAAGCACUCCGCCUGGGGAGUACGACCGCAAGGUUG